GACGAACGCUGGCGGCGUGCUUAACACAUGCAAGUCGAACGGAAAGGCCCAGCUUGCUGGGUGCUCGAGUGGCGAACGGUUGAGUAACACGUGGGUGAUCUGCCUCUAACUUCGGGAUAAGCUUGGGAAACUGGGUCUAAUACCGGAUAGGACAAUCGUUUAGUGUCGGUUGUGGAAAGUUUUUUCGGUUAGGGAUGAGCCCGCGGCCUAUCAGCUUGUUGGUGGGGUAAUGGCCUACCAAGGCGUCGACGGGUAGCCGGCCUGAGAGGGUGGACGGCCACAUUGGGACUGAGAUACGGCCCAGACUCCUACGGGAGGCAGCAGUGGGGAAUAUUGCACAAUGGGCGCAAGCCUGAUGCAGCGACGCCGCGUGGGGGAUGACGGCCUUCGGGUUGUAAACCUCUUUCGACAGGGACGAAGCUUUGGUGACGGUACCUGUAUAAGAAGCACCGGCUAACUACGUG
rnacentral:rRNA from 1 species